GGGCCCGUAGCUCAGUUGGUUAGAGCAGACGACUCAUAAUCGUCGGGUCGUAGGUUCAAGUCCUACCGGGCCCA
rfam:Elusimicrobia bacterium GWA2_56_46 gwa2_scaffold_209, whole genome shotgun sequence.